rnacentral:rRNA from 1 species
AAAUAUUUUAAUUUUUUAAAGAUAGAAACCAACCUGGCUUACGCCGGUUUGAACUCAGAUCAUGUAAGAAUUUAAAAGUCGAACAGACUUAAAAUUUAAGCGGCUACACCUAAAAUUAUAUCUUAAUCCAACAUCGAGGUCGCAAUCUUUUUUAUCCGAUAUGAACUCUCCAAAAAAAUUACGCUUGCUAUCCCUAAAGUAACUUAUUNCCCNAAUCGUUAUUAACGGGAUCAAUUAUUCAUAAAUUAAUG